CUCUGCCUGACCCUCAGCUACCCCAGCUCCGGUUUGUCCGGAAGCUGCACGCGGCCUGUGUAGGCCUCGACCCGACUGGGCUCCCAGGCAGGGAGCUGUGUCCUAAGUCGCCGCCCUUCUUCCUGGAAAACACCAACCCCUUCGACUUAAAACCUUCACACCCGCAAGUGACUGUCGAAGGGCCGUGUCAGAAUGUCUGUCUUUCCAAGCGCGGUGCUCAUUAAAGGGAUGAAACUAAAAUCCUCCCAGAUGAUGGCCUGGAAGGAGGUGGCUGAAGUAAAGGUGAAAGCAACUAGAAUCAGCAUGAUGGAGACAAUGUGGUAAAGCUGUAAACACGGAGACUCCAGAGUCAGAUGUCCAGAGUCAGACAGACAGUGAAUCGCGACAUCUUAAACUGUGUGACAUCUGUCCAACUUAAUUUAUCUUCGUACUCAUGUUGAUAAAAUGAACUUCACAAUAGCUACUUUGAACUACUUUGCAAUAAUUAUGAUUAUAUUAUAUACAGCUCUAGGAGAAUAGCAUAUGUUCAAUAACAUGGUUGUUAUCACCUAUCUGCCAAGAAAGUUGACACGCUCACUGUAACUCCGGGAGGGCACUAAAGGAAUGGAGGGGGCUGGGUUUAGAUCUUUAACUGAUCGUUUUGUUUUGGUCUGAGCACUUGCCACAAACACUAGCAUGCAUUCCUUCACUUUACAGUAUAUGCUGUGAAGUUUCCCUCAACACAGGGCAAUGUAAAGAGCAGCUUUUCUCUGCAGAAAAACAUCAUUUCUCUUCCCAUCACCCCACGCUGAAGACUCUAGCACCCAUUAUCAGAGAGGUAAAUGACAGCCACACCUU
rnacentral:lncRNA from 1 species